rnacentral:tRNA from 2 species
GCCGGGGUGGCGGAAUUGGCAGACGCGCAUGGUUGAGGGCCAUGUGGGAGCAAUCCUGUGCGGGUUCAAAUCCCGCCCCCGGCA